rnacentral:rRNA from 1 species
GACGAACGCUGGCGGCGUGCUUAACACAUGCAAGUCGAGCGGAAAGGCCACUUCGGUGGUACUCGAGCGGCGAACGGGUGAGCAACACGUGAGUAAUCUGCCCCUGACUUUGGGAUAGCCACCGGAAACGGUGAUUAAUACCGGAUACGACCACUUCUCGCAUGGGAUGGUGGUGGAAAGUUUUUCGGCCAGGGAUGUGCUCGCGGCCUAUCAGCUUGAUGGCGAGGUAAUGGCUCACCAUGGCUUCGACGGGUAGCCGGCCUGAGAGGGUGACCGGUCACACUGGGACUGAGACACGGCCCAGACUCCUACGGGAGGCAGCAGUGGGGAAUAUUGGACGAUGGGCGGAAGCCUGAUCCAGCAACGCCGCGUGAGGGAUGACGGCCUUCGGGUUGUAAACCUCUUUCAGCAGGGACGAAGCGCAAGUGACGGUACCUGCAGAAGAAGCACCGGCCAACUACGUGCCAGCAGCGGCCGUAAGAC